rnacentral:rRNA from 1 species
GAUGAACGCUGGCGGCGUGCCUAAUACAUGCAAGUCGAGCGAACGGACGAGAAUCUUGCUUCUCUGAUGUUAGCGGCGGACGGGUGAGUAACACGUGGAUAACCUACCUAUAAGACUGGGAUAACUUCGGGAAACCGUAGCUAAUACCGGAUAAUAUUUUGAACCGCAUGGUUCAAAAGUGAAAGACGGUCUUGCUGUCACUUAUAGAUGGAUCCGCGCUGCAUUAGCUAGUUGGUAAGGUAACGGCUUACCAAGGCAACGAUGCAUAGCCGACCUGAGAGGAGGGGCGGCAACAAUAGCACUGCUACACGGAGCAGGGACCGACGGGAGGCAGAAGGAGGGAAUCGUGAGCAAUUGGCGAAAACCUGACGGAUCAACGACGAGGGAAGAAUAAAGGUCUUCGGAUCGUAAAACACUGUGAAGAGGGAAAAACAUAUGUGUAAGGAACAGUGCGCACCUGGACGCUCCCUAAUAAGAAAACAACGACUAGCUACGUG